GAUGAAGAACGCAGCGAAAUGCGAUACGUAAUGUGAAUUGCAGAAUUCAGUGACUCAUCGAGUCUUUGAACGCACAUUGCGCCCCCUGGUAUUCCGGGGGGCAUGCCUGUCCGAGCGUCAUUGCUGCCCUCAAGCACGGCUUGUGUGUUGGGCCUCCGUCCUCCUCCCGGGGGACGGGCCCGAAAGGCAGCGGCGGCACCGCGUCCGGUCCUCGAGCGUAUGGGGCUUCGUCACCCGCUCUUGUAGGCCCGGCCGGCGCUUGCCGACACAUCAAUCUUUUUUCCAGGUUGACCUCGGAUCAGGUAGGGAUACCCGCUGAACUUAAGCAUAUCAAUAAGCGGAGGA
rnacentral:misc_RNA from 1 species